rnacentral:lncRNA from 1 species
GUGUCAUUAUCUUUUCAUGUAGUAUUAAUUAUUUUAUUUUAACUGUAGCCUCUAAUUAAUAUCAUGUGCAUCAUCACUCCAAGUCAUUAUCCUCCACUUCGCAUUUAUGAUAAUGGUGAAUCUGUCACUGACUAACAAGGUUAAUUUGGUAAAAUUGUUGUCCUCUUUCUUUCAUUUAUAACUUCUCCUUAAUUUGUGUAAAAUAACCUAAUAUGAACUCAUACUGGUUCAGAAGGAGUUAUUAGCAAUAGUUUCAUGUAUUAGUAUUCAAUAUAUUUCAUGGUGUGGUUCAUCCAGAAUGAAUGAAAUAAUUCAAUGGCAUCUUGAACAAAGAAGAGAAUUUAAGAAGUGAUUCCAGAGAAUACUAC